rnacentral:rRNA from 1 species
UACGAAGGGGGCUAGCGUUGUUCGGAAUUACUGGGCGUAAAGCGCACGUAGGCGGAUUUGUAAGUCAGGGGUGAAAUCCCGGGGCUCAACCUCGGAACUGCCUUUGAUACUGCAAGUCUCGAGUCCGAUAGAGGUGAGUGGAAUUCCUAGUGUAGAGGUGAAAUUCGUAGAUAUUAGGAAGAACACCAGUGGCGAAGGCGGACUCACUGGAUCGGUACUGACGCUGAGGUGCGAAAGCGUGGGGAGCAAACAGGGAUUAA